rnacentral:rRNA from 1 species
GAUGAACGCUGACGGCGUGCCUAAUACAUGCAAGUCGAGCGAACGGACGAGAAGCUUGCUUCUCUGAUGUUAGCGGCGGACGGGUGAGUAACACGUGGAUAACCUACCUAUAAGACUGGGAUAACUUCGGGAAACCGGAGCUAAUACCGGAUAAUAUUUUGAACCGCAUGGUUCAAAAGUGAAAGACGGUCUUGCUGUCACUUAUAGAUGGAUCCGCGCUGCAUUAGCUAGUUGGUAAGGUAACGGCUUACCAAGGCAACGAUGCAUAGCCGACCUGAGAGGGUGAUCGGCCACACUGGAACUGAGACACGGUCCAGACUCCUACGGGAGGCAGCAGUAGGGAAUCUUCCGCAAUGGGCGAAAGCCUGACGGAGCAACGCCGCGUGAGUGAUGAAGGUCUUCGGAUCGUAAAACUCUGUUAUUAGGGAAGAACAUAUGUGUAAGUAACUGUGCACAUCUUGACGGUACCUAAUCAGAAAGCCGCGGCUAACUACGUG